rnacentral:rRNA from 1 species
UACGUAGGGUCCGAGCGUUGUCCGGAAUUACUGGGCGUAAAGAGCUCGUAGGCGGUUUGUCGCGUUGUCCGUGAAAACUCACAGCUCAACUGUGGGCGUGCGGGCGAUACGGGCAGACUGGAGUACUGCAGGGGAGACUGGAAUUCCUGGUGUAGCGGUGGAAUGCGCAGAUAUCAGGAGGAACACCGGUGGCGAAAGCGGGUCUCUGGGACGGUACUGACGCUGAGACGCGAAAGCGUGGGGAGCGAACAGG